GACGAACGCUGGCGGCGUGCCUAAUACAUGCCAGUUGAGCGCUGAAGGUUGGUACUUGUACCAACUGGAUGAGCAGCGAACGGGUGAGUAACGCGUGGGGAAUCUGCCUUUGAGCGGGGGACAACAUUUGGAAACGAAUGCUAAUACCGCAUAAAAACUUUAAACACAAGUUUUAAGUUUGAAAGAUGCAAUUGCAUCACUCAAAGAUGAUCCCGCGUUGUAUUAGCUAGUUGGUGAGGUAAAGGCUCACCAAGGCGAUGAUACAUAGCCGACCUGAGAGGGUGAGCGGCCACAUUGGGACGGAGACACGGCCCAAACUCCUACGGGAGGCAGCAGUAGGGAAUCUUCGGCAAUGGACGAAAGUCUGACCGAGCAACGCCGCGUGAGUGAAGAAGGUUUUCGGAUCGUAAAACUCUGUUGGUAGAGAAGAACGUUGGUGAGAGUGGAAAGCUCAUCAAGUGACGGUAACUACCCAGAAAGGGACGGCUAACUACGUG
rnacentral:rRNA from 1 species